UGUAAAUUUGUUGAUGCAGCAAGGAUGAGCUC
rnacentral:piRNA from 1 species